rnacentral:tRNA from 2 species
GGAACCUUAGCUCAGUUGGUAGAGCUACCGGCUCAUAACCGGUUGGUCGCAAGUUCAACCCUUGCAGGUUCCACCA